rnacentral:rRNA from 1 species
CUUUACUGCAACUUGACGUUGGAACUUGGCUGUAUUUGUGUAGGAUAGGUGGGAGACUUUGAAGCAGGGCCGCCAGGUCUUGCGGAGUCGUCGUUGAAAUACCACCCUGGUGCUGACGAGUUCCUAACCGUGUCCGUAAGCCGGACAUGAGACAGCGUCUGGUGGGCAGUUUGACUGGGGCGGUCGCCUCCUAAAAGGUAACGGAGGCAUUCAAAGGUCCCCUCAGCGUGGUCGGUAAUCACGCGCAGAGUGCAAACGCAUAAGGGGGCUUAACUGCGAGACCGACAGGUCGAGCAGGUACGAAAGUAGGAGUUAGUGAUCCCGCGGUUUAGCGUGGAAUUGCCGUUGCUCAAUGGAUAAAAGGUA